GGAGGGAUGGCCGAGUGGUCGAAGGCGGCGGUCUUGAAAACCGUUGGCCCGUGGGAACGGGUCCGUGGGUUCGAAUCCUACUCCCUCCGCCA
rnacentral:tRNA from 1 species